rnacentral:rRNA from 1 species
AGUGAACGCUGGCGGCAGGCCUAACACAUGCAAGUCGAACGAACGCACAGUAAGAGCUUGCUCUUACGGGUGGCGAGUGGCGGACGGGUGAGGAAUGCAUCGGAUACUUCUUUGUCGUGGGGGAUAACGUAGGGAAACUUAUGCUAAUACCGCAUAUGUCCUACGGGUGAAAGCAGGGGUUCUUCGGGCUCUUCGCGACUGUAUGAGCCGAUGUCGGAUUAGAUAGUUGGCGGGGUAAAGGCGCACCAAGGCGACGAUGCGUAGCUGAUCUGAGAGGAUGAUCAGCCACACUGGAACUGAGACACGGUCCAGACUCCUACGGGAGGCAGCAGUGGGGAAUCUUGCGCAAUGGGCGCAAGCCUGAUCCAGCCACACCGCGUGAGUGAUGAAGGCCUUCGGGUUGUAGAACCCUGUUGUUGGGAAAGAAAAGAAGCAGUUUAAUCCCCCGCUAUUCUGACGGUACCCAAAGAAUAAGCCCCGGCUAACUUCGUG